GUUUUAUCCUUUUUAAUAUAUUUCUUGGGGUUUCCAAGUGGUUUGAGGUUUAGAAAAGCUUGAAGAGAUUGUUUUCGCCGAAAAGUUGCUCGGAUAAGCACAUCAAUACCUAAGACACCACUUGUUACACGGUGAACUAUAUUUUGGACAAAAGGUAGAGAAAGAAAUAUGUGAAUGAUAUGAGGAGAACUGAAGCAUGGUCCUGACCCUGAUUUGUACAUAUGAACACAUCGACCUUUUUGUGGGUUAUUUCAGCUAUCAGUGAGAUGUUUGUAAUAAAGUGUGAAGUUAUGUUUUGAAAACAAAUUGGGUUAUUUAAUACUUAUGUAUAAUAUGUUUGAGACACACUUUAUGUUUAAUGUAAAUAAUGUGAAAUAAGUUUUCAAGUUUAAAAAUAUAUAUAUAUGUCCAG